GACUCUCGACAAUGGAUAUCUCGGCUCAUGCAUCGAUGAAGAACGUAGCGAAAUGCGAUACUUGGUGUGAAUUGCAGAAUCCCCUGAACCAUCAAGUCUUUGAACACAAGUUGUGCCCUAGGCCAUCAGGUUGAGAUGGCCAAGUACGGUGUGGAGUUU